GACGAACGCUGGCGGCGUGCUUAACACAUGCAAGUCGAACGGAAAGGCCCUGCUUUUGCGGGGUGCUAGAGUGGCGAACGGGUGAGUAACCCGUGAGUAACCUGCCCUUGACUUUGGGAUAACUUCAGGAAACUGGGGCUAAUACCGGAUAGGAGCUCCUGCUGCAUGGUGGGGGUUGGAAAGUUUCGGAGGUUGGGGAUGGACUCGCGGCUUAUCAGCUUGUUGGUGGGGUAGUGGCUUACCAAGGCUUUGACGGGUAGCCGGCCUGAGAGGGUGACCGGCCACAUUGGGACUGAGGUACGGCCCAGUCUCCAACGGGAGGCAGCAGGGGGGAAUAUUGCACAAUGGGCGGAAGCCUGAUGCAGCAACGUCGCGUGCGGGAUGACGGCCUUCGGGUGGUAAACCGCUUUCGCCUGUGACGAAGCGGGAGUGACGGUAAUGGGUGAAGAAGCACCGGCUAACUACGUG
rnacentral:rRNA from 1 species